UGCUUCGGUAAACUUCCCUUCUGUUGUCAGCCGGUACGCUGCCUUGAGUUUCUCUUCCAACUGAGAGAAUUUGAAGACGAGUGCUGGUGGAGCCCUUACAUUAGGACUAGCAGACUCGCUCCAUCCCUUCUCAACAGCAAAUGAUAUCACUGGAGCCACAGCAAAAGCGGGUAGAUACGUAUGACUUCCCAUGUGUAGAUCCAUGAACAUUGGCUUCAACGGUUCGAAGUUCUUUAUACCUAGUUGUCGGCUAAGCAAGCGCAUUGCAGUGUCGAAAUUUCCAGCCGCUGCGUGCUCCCCGGCAAGAGAUGAUUUCUGGAUCCAGAUUUGACUUACAGGCAUGCCUGGAGUAGGAGCAACGAAUACAAUAGCACGGCUAUGCCCUGGAGCUUUUGGUGUAUCCACAUCAGGUGGCAACUCCAAGUCUUCAAGCUCCCAUCCUCCUUCCUCGUCAUUCCCAACGUUUUCUUCAUCGUCCUCAACUUCUAUUUGAACAUCUCCG
rnacentral:misc_RNA from 1 species